CCUACGGGAGGCAGCAGUGAGGAAUAUUGGUCAAUGGCCGUAAGGCUGAACCAGCCAAGUCGCGUGAAGGAAGAAGGAUCUAUGGUUUGUAAACUUCUUUUAUAUGGGAAUAAAGUGCAGUAUGUAUACUGCUUUGCAUGUACCUUAUGAAUAAGGAUCGGCUAACUCCGUGCCAGCAGCCGCGGUAAUACGGAGGAUCCGAGCGUUAUCCGGAUUUAUUGGGUUUAAAGGGAGCGUAGGCGGGUUGUUAAGUCAGUUGUGAAAGUUUGCGGCUCAACCGUAAAAUUGCAGUUGAUACUGGCAGCCUUGAGUACAGUAGAGGUAGGCGGAAUUCGUGGUGUAGCGGUGAAAUGCUUAGAUAUCACGAAGAACUCCGAUUGCGAAGGCAGCCUGCUGGACUGUAACUGACGCUGAUGCUCGAAAGUGUGGGUAUCAAACAGGAUUAGAUACCCUUGUAGUC
rnacentral:rRNA from 1 species